rnacentral:lncRNA from 1 species
UCAAACUUGUAAAUAAACUUAAUUAUACUUGACUUAAACUUUCAAAAAGCCAAAAAGAGCUAACUCAUUCAACCAUUUUCAGGCCUUUGUGCCUUUCAAACUUAAUUUUUUUAUAAAAGCAAUGCAUCCACUUUGAAAUUUGUAUCACAAACUACGAGGUUUUGAUCCCUCAUUUUUAUGUUGGUACGUAGGCACAAGUCUGAAGGUCUUGUCAAACACAAAAAUAUAAUUAAUUGAAUU